rnacentral:sRNA from 1 species
GCUGGGCAUGAUGGCUCAUGCCUGUAAUCCCAGCACUUUGGGAGGCUGAGGUGGGUGGAUCACUUGAGGUCAGGAGUUCAAGACCAGCCUGGCCAACAUGGAGAAACCCCAUCUCUA